CCGGCAGUCCGGCAGAAUUGCUCCCCGAAUAAACGAGGAGCGCAUUCAUGUCCCCGGAUAGCGGGUUCUGUUGACACUGUUGCCCUGGCGGGUCCCGACGACCUAAGCGUCGAGGGCGGGGUGAUGUUGGCAUCGGUGCUGGGAUCCUUGGCAGCCCUGGCGUCGAUGGCCGUCACCUUGGCGCUGUGCUACCUCUUUUGGCGAAAGAGGUCCGCCGCCAAGGAGGCCAAAGACGAGUUGGAGCCCUUGCAAGUCGGAGUACCAACAUCUUCGCAAGGGACACCCAACAAAGGGGCACAACCAGCAAAUAAAACAAAUAAUAAAAGUGUUGUUGAACUGACCAGACACAACGUCGAGGAUAGGCUUUACCAGGGUGCUGUCGCCGCCUCGUCGCUAUCUCUGGACAGGUAAGAACAAAUUUAUUCUUGCGCAUUAAUUGUUUUUCUCUUGUACCUUUCUCAUGUAUUCCAUAUUAUGCAUUUCAUUGGAAUAGGCAUAUUGGCUAUAUAUGCACUAUAAUAAUGAAUGAGUAAACUAAGAUAGUUAUAGGUGAUGUAGGGCAAAUGCCUUAAGCUACAGCACAUAAAUUUGUGCUAUUACCCGUUUAUUAUUACCGUUCGCAAGUUACGGGCAGUGGCCAACAAGAAACUAAAAAAAAAAAUCUCAGAAAGGGAUAACUCAGAGUGCAAAACUCGUAACCAAAUCCAGGAAAACCUCUUCAUGUUCUUUUCAAAAGAAAUUGCAAAUUUAAAACCUAUUUGGCUCAUUGCCGAUUGUAGUUAACGCGACAGAUAACGAUACAAACAUAUACCCAAUUUGACUCACACAUAAUCCUAACAAAAUCAGUUUUUUUUAUAUCCGUCGUUUCACAGCCAACCCAGUUUUUGA